GGGGAUUUAGCUCAGCGGUAGAGCGCUUGCCUUAUAAGCUCAAGGCCCUGGGUUCGGUCCCCAGCUCCA
rnacentral:tRNA from 1 species